CACGCAGGUGGCUGAGAUAGUCGAUUGUGAAAGCCCUGGGCUUAACCUGGGAAUUGCAGUCGAUACUACUCGGCUAGAGUAUGGGAGAGGGCAGUGGAAUUCCCGGUGUAGCGGUGAAAUGCGUAGAUAUCGGGAGGAACAUCAGUGGCGAAGGCGGCUGCCUGGCCCAAUACUGACAUCAGGUGCGACAGCGUGGGGAGCAAACA
rnacentral:rRNA from 1 species